ACGCUGCAUUGUGGUCUAACGCUUGAUGCCGUGCGCAAUUUGCGCGAAGAGGGGCGUGUCAUGGACGUCGUGAGCCGCGGCGGCUCUUUCAUCACGGGCUGGAUGCUCUACAAUGAGAAGGAAAAUCCUCUCUACACGCAUUUCGAUGAUAUUCUAGACAUCUGUGAAACGUACGAUUCGACAAUCAGUCUGGGCGAUGGCCUGCGUCCCGGCUGUCUUGCUGAUGCGACGGAUCGUGCGCAGAUCACGGAACUCGUGAACCUCGGCGCACUCGUUGACCGCGCGUGGAAGCGCGGCGUGCAGGUCAUGGUGGAAGGGCCGGGGCACAUGCCGUUCGAUCAGAUUGCAGCGAACAUGAAGCUCGAAAAGAGGCUGUGCCACAAUGCGCCGUUUUACGUCCUUGGCCCCUUGGUGACGGACGUCGCGCCGGGCUAUGACCACAUCACGGCGGCAAUCGGCGGCACGCUCGCCGCCGUGAGCGGCGCUGACUUUCUCUGCUAUGUGACUCCCGCCGAGCACCUUUGCCUGCCGACGUUGGAGGAUGUACACGACGGUGUGAUCACGAGCCGCAUCGCCGCGCAUGCAGCGGACAUCGUCAAGGGCAUACCGGGUGCAGCGGAGUGGGAUCGGAAGAUGGCAGAGGCGCGAAAGGCGCUCGACUGGGAGGCACAGCUCGCGCUCGCCAUUGAUCCAGCGCGCGCGCGGGCACGUCGCGAGGCGAGAAAUGACGCGGGUGAAGGCGCCUGUUCCAUGUGCGGUGACUACUGCGCGGUGGAGAUCAUCCAGAAGUAUUUCGACAAGCCUGCCGGAGGCCGCUGCGAUUGAGGAUAGGAAAAGAGCCUGCCGCAUUUUGCGGCAGGCUGUUGUUUUCUGAAGAAAUGUCUUAUAAUGUAGGAAGUGAACAAAUGAACAAGGUUAAGGGAGCGGAUUGGGAUGCCGGAAAUUAGUCGCUUUAUGGGCAUGGUUAUUAAAAUGUUGUUUCUUGACAAUGACCAACAUCAUAAACCUCACGUUCAUGUGAUUUAUGGUGAUUUCAAGGCGUCGGUCGGAAUCGACGGUGAAAUGCUUGCAGGUUCAUUGCCUGCAAAGCAGUUGAAGAUUCUUACAGCAUGGCUGUGUAUUCAUGAAGACGAAUUGUAUGCUGCGUGGAACAAAGCUGUUCGCGGCUUACAUUUUGACAAGAUCGAACCUUUGCGAUAGGAGGCCCGGUCUUCGGGCCGGGCGGGGGCGGGGCGGCGGGGGUCUGGGGACCCUCCGUGCAGGUAGGCAAGCGUAUUAACAGGGGUGACGCGCAGUGGUGGCCCCGCGGGUCUGAUGGCUCGGCCCGUUCAAGCGCGCGGCCCGCCGCCCAGGCAAAUCCGGGCGGCUGCCUUCGAUGGCGGGGGUGAGGCGCGAUGGUGACCCGGCCCGGUGGGGUCGGGGAAGUAGGGUGAUCCUGUGGCGCCGAGAAAAGCCUCGACGCGAGGGGCCGGUCCGCCCGUACCCCAAACCGACACAGGUGGUCGGGCAGAGCAUGCCCAGGCGCACGGGCGAACCGUGGUGAAGGAACUCGGCAAAACGCCCCCGUAACUUCGGGAGAAGGGGGGCCCGAGCCCUGAGGCCCCGAGCGGGCUGGGGGUGAGGGUCGCAGAGGCCAGGGGGGAGCGACUGUUUACUAAAAACACAGGUCCGUGCGAAGCCGCAAGGCGAUGUAUACGGACUGACGCCUGCCCGGUGCUGGAAGGUCAAGAGGAUCCGUCAGCCCCCCGCGGGGGGUGAAGCGGUGAAUUCAAGCCCCAGUAAACGGCGGUGGUAACUAUAACCAUCCUAAGGUAGCGAAAUUCCUUGUCGGGUAAGUUCCGACCUGCACGAAUGGCGUAACGACUCCCCCGCUGUCUCCACCACGGGCCCGGCGAAAUUGCAUUACGAGUAAAGAUGCUCGUUGCGCGCAGAAGGACGGAAAGACCCCGGGACCUUCACUGCAGCUUGGUAUUGGCGCCCGGUUCGGCUCGUGCAGGAUAGGUGGGAGACUGUGAGGCCGCCGCGUCAGCGGUGCGCGGAGUCGUCGUUGAGAUACCACUCCGGCCGUGUCGUGCGCCUGAACCUGGGCCCGUGAUCCGGGUCAGGGACAGUGCCUGGCGGGUAGUUCAACUGGGGCGGUUGCCUCCCAAAGGGUAACGGAGGCGCUCAAGGGUCCCCUCAGCCUGGUCGGCAACCAGGUGUCGAGUGCAAGUGCACAAGGGGGCUUGACUGCGAGACCGACGGGUCGGGCAGGUGCGAAAGCAGGAACUAGUGAUCCGGCGGCUCCGUGUGGACGGGCCGUCGCUCAACGGAUAAAAGGUACCCCGGGGAUAACAGGCUGAUCCUGCCCAAGAGUCCAUAUCGACGGCAUGGUUUGGCACCUCGAUGUCGGCUCGUCGCAUCCUGGGGCUGGAGCAGGUCCCAAGGGUUGGGCUGUUCGCCCAUUAAAGCGGUACGCGAGCUGGGUUUAGAACGUCGUGAGACAGUUCGGUCCCUAUCCUCUGCGCGCGCAGGAGACUUGAGGAGACCCGUCCCCAGUACGAGAGGACCGGGACGGACGGACCUCUGGUGCGCCAGUUGUCCCGCCAGGGGCACCGCUGGUUGGCCACGUCCGGGAAGGGUAACCGCUGAAGGCAUCUAAGCGGGAAACCACCUCCAAGACCAGGUCCCCGCACAACCCCCCCCGGGGGGUUGU
rnacentral:rRNA from 1 species